CUACCAAGACAGUGACGGUUGACGGGGAAUCAGGGUUCUAUACCGGAGAGGGAGCCUGAGAGAUUGCUCCCACGUCCAAGGACGGCAGCAGGCGCGAAAAUUGCCCACUGUUUGCAGGAGGCAGUUAUGAGACGUGAGGAUGAAUGCUUGGCAAAGAGAAGCAGGAGAAUUGGAGGGCAAGUUUGGUGCCAGCAGCCGCGGUAAUACCGACUCCAAGAGUGUGUGUGAGAGAUGCUGCAGUUAAAAAGUCCGUAGUCGUGUCGAGGAAACGGAGGGCGACCUCUGAUAGUUGAUGUGGAGGAGCCAAUGGGGAACACAGUAUACCAGGGCGAGAGAUGAAAUGUCAAGACCCCUGGUGGACUCAGCGAGGCGAAGGCGGUGUUCUUGUGGGCGUCCGGUGAUCAAGGACGAAGGGUGGAGGAUCGAACGUGAUUAGAUACCGCAGUAGUUCCAGCAGUAAAAGAUGCC
rnacentral:rRNA from 1 species